rnacentral:lncRNA from 1 species
AAAAAAGGUUCUUCAAGACUCUACAGUUUGUCAAAGAAAAGAGAAAGCUCAUUCCUGAGGAAGUUAAAUUAUUACUCGCCAGGUUGAGAAUAUUUAAAUUUCUUAGAUUGCCCAGAUUAUCCGGAAUGGACCCUGAAAAGUAAUUACUAGACAUGUCAAGAAGAGUAAGCUGAGAGGCAUUGGAAAUAUACAUUGGGAUCGAGCGGGCAAGGUGAUUGAAAUCAAGAUACAAUUACUCCAUGUUUGGAAGGAAAAGGCCCAUGUUUGAUGGAAGAUGGCCAGAGAGCUGAUUUGUAUCCAAAGAAAUCAUCCUUAGAGUUGAAAUAUUGAACAGUUGUGGAGGAAUAGAACCAGCAAUAUUGUUAAAUGCUAAAUUCAACCAAUUUAGAUUGUUUAGGUUGCCAAUCUCAUGUGGUAUUAUACCUGCCAUAAAUUUUAUCAAACAAAAAUAUUAGACAAAUAUGGAACAUUUGCUUGUAUUUUGUUCUUCUAAGAACAUAAAAAUAACUCAAUUAUGAUUUUAUUAGAGUUUUGUGUGGCCUCAACUGGGAAAGAAUGGACUUAAAAGAAAAGAAAUAUACUAUUUGCAAUGACACGAAAAAAAAUUAUAACUAUUGUAACAUAAUCAAAAUACAGAAAGCCGUUGAACAAAAUUAAACCUAUCAUUAAAAGUUGGAAAUAAUUGACCUGUAAAAUUGCCAUGGGAACAAUCAAACAGCCUGAGAAGAGUUAAAUUCACAAUUUGUUUAGGAAUUUCACCUGCAAUUAUAAAAUUCACUUGUCAAAUUCAAAAUUCAUCUCUUAGUAAAGAUUAUAAGAUAAUAAAUGCUUAAUAACUUACUUAGCUUUCCAAUUUUAUAUAAUAAAGUCAUUUUAAUUCUCUAUUUAAUUUUUCACCUUUAAACUUGUAAUAUUUGUCAAAUAUACCUCCAAAAUGGAUCAAAAAAUCCAUGUGCAUGUCACGUACUUAGUUUCUUGUUUGUUUAUCUUAUUUCUUCUCUAUCAAAGACCAAUAUUUAUUUUUAUUUGGUCCAAUCAAAAAAUAUUUUAUCAUUUCUGUAUUCGCAAGUCAAUAUAGAUGGAUAUUUCAAAACAUAUAUAUGUCUCUCUUAUUCUCGAUUUUCUCAAGCAAUUUGGUGGAAUACUCGAACGUUCGAUUCUUUUUUUUGGUCUUAACUUCAAUCUUUAUGAAUGAAAACAAAAGAAAAGAGUUUCUCAUUAUGAUCUAGGUUUCAUUUCUAUGGGUUAAAAAAAUUAAAAUAGUUAGUUGAAAGACCCAACAAAAAGUUGGUUAUAGAGGAGUUCAAGGAUAGAAAUAACCAAAACUCAUCUCAGCUACUGUACAAAUAGGUGUCGUAACCAUUUUUUUGUAAAAAGGUCGUUGACUUGGAUUUUGAAAAACGAAAACGAACAUGGGAGUCGCCACCAAUCCUUUUUAUUUAAGUGUGAUCGGAUCACCUUAUAAUUUAAUCAUUUUAAUAAAAGUUUUAAAUUUACUAAAACGAUAAUUUUUUUGUCUACAAAAUCCAAGAAAAGGGUUCGGGAGUUGGUUAUGCAUGAGGAAGGAUUAGCACCCUCGAUGCACCCAAAAUUGGCAUCUAGUUGAUUAAUUAGUUUCUUAGUGUCGAAGAUUGAAAACUUUAAAGAGAUUUAAAAUUUGAUCCUUUAUUGAAAUGCUAAAAAAAAUUGAGGAAAAGGGCAUACUUUACGUUAAUCGAGAAAAGAGAAUUACGUCCCGUAAGUUAAGACACAAUACCACGUACUUUUGAGAAUAAGCUCCCUUUUGUUUUUUUUUCUCAAAACAUGUUUAUUUUAGUUUUUAAAAGGAUAUUCGGUUAUUUGGGUUCAACGCGAGAAGAAUCAAGACCCAGUAAGUUAGGAUACGACUUCUCGGAUUUCCAAUUACAGAAUAUUGCCUUUAUUAUUUUUUAGAAAAGAACCUCAUCUUGAGAAAAAUAACAUGUCAUAUCCAAUGCGUUAGGACACAACAUAUCGAAUUCUCGAGAUAAGCUUUAAUUUUGGAAUUUCUACGUUUAAAUUGAAAAAGGGAUAUUCAGUUACUUACAUUCAACAAGGAGAAUUGAAGCCCAGUAAGUUAGGGCACAAUCCCCUCGAGAAUCUUGGAUACCGAGUAGUUGAAAACUUAUGGAUAAAAUGAUUUCAAUAUUUUUCUAAACGGAUGUAACGCGAUUGAAUGGUAACGUAUUACGCAAAAGUAUAAUUUAAAAAUAAAAUACACGUUAACGAAUCAUGAAUAAUAAAUAAACACAAACUAACAUAGCGAUAAUAAUCUCAAUCAUACAUGUCGAAUAUCGAUAUCAAUAUUUGAAAUAAAAACGAGCUAAUUAAUGCAAACACAAGCCAAGUGUAUAAGUUUUGAAAUGACUAGAAAAAUAAAUGGUAUGAAAAGAAUGGAAAUUGUGAAUCAAUAAAGCAUAUACAUAGAAAUUUUAACAUAAGUAUAUACAAAAAAUUUGAAAUAGAUUAAAAUGGAGUUUAAAAUAAAAUAAAAUAAAAUAAAUAGUAUGCGAAGUAAAUUUUAGAGUAAAGGUUCAAAAUAUUAAUAUAUACAUAUAUUAAAAUUUUAAAAAAAGUAAUACGUAUGGGGUGGAUAUAAUAUGUGGUACUAUACGUAAAAGUUGGAGUUAGUGAAGUAUAUUAAAAUAGGAUUUUUUUUUUUUUAGAACUACAUAUUUAUAGAUAAAAAAUAGAUGUUAGCAAAUAUAUAUACAACUAUAGUAAAGAAAGGACUGAAAAUUAAUAUGUAAUUUGAUAAAAACUAUGUAUCAUAAAAUAAAACCAUUUUAAAGAAAUAAAUCCCAUUGGAUUGAUAUAAUAAUAUGAAAUAAUGAUAAUGAUAUAAAACGUUAAAAAAUAUAAAUACGUAAUAAUAAAAGAGUAAAUAAAUAUAAAUAAGUGUAAUAAUAGUACCAAUAAUAAUAAUAGUAACAGUACUAAUAACAAUAAUAAUAUAAAUAAAAUAAUAUUAAACAGUUAAUUUUACAAGAAAAAAUAAAAAUAGAUAAAAUAGCACUGACAACAGAGAAGGACUAAAUUAAGCUUGAAAAUAAAAGUUUGAGGCAAAUCUAGAAAUAAAUGAAAAAGGGAUCGCGCUGAACACGCGAACAACGGGGAAAGACCAAAAUGGGAAAUAAUCCCAGCUUUCCAGAAUGUUGAGUUUUGCGCGGACCAGAUUGGAACAAAAAAUAAAAUGCAUGGCCAUAUUUAAAGGGAACAAAAGAUCGAUUUGAACUCAAUAUGGAAUACAGGGGACCAUUUGCGUAAAUUUCCCACGCGUUAUAAAACACGCAGAUCUGGGACCGGAUCGGGGCGGGUCGCGUGCUGGUCGUGCAAAACAGAGCCGUUUCGGCACUGAAACUCCCAGGUGAAACGACGUCAUUUCAAUAGCACUAUAAAAGUUAAAAUUUUCCAAAAUAGACUCAUUUUCUCCUUGUUUCAGAAAAAAAACAUUGGGGGUUCUCUCAAGUCCCCUUUCUCCAGCCCUAAACUUCGGCCAAAGUCUGGCCACUAUCCACCGUACCGGUCGUCGAUCGUCGGCAUUAGCGCCGCCGAGCACGGUGGUCGGCGAGGGAAAAAAGUUUUUUUUAAUUUUUCAGCCCCCUAGACUCAAAUCCAACCACAAAACACCCAAAAACGUAAUAAAAAGGGGCUAACAACCCUCUCAACGACGAGUUUUGCCACUAAAGAAGGGACCUUCUGACGAUCAAGGCGCGGCGUAACUCCGGUGAGUCCCUUCCCCUUUUUCUUAUUUUCGAACAACAAAAAGAAAGAAAGAAUAAAAAAAAGGAUUGAAAUCGAAAAUAAUCACCUUAAAAAAAACUUUCUAUUUUUGAUUAAUUUUUAUAUAUUUCGAAUCAAUGUGUGCGUAAAAAAUUGUUACAACGAGAAUACUUUGGCUUUUAUAGCCAAAUUACAACCGUUUGAUCUUCAUCUUUUUGUUUUUUUUUUGCUCUUUAUUUUGCUGGAUUCUUCUGUUGCUUUGCAUUGAUUUCUCUCUGCAGGUGUCAGAGGCGUGCGAUGCGCGUGGAGGUGACGGGCGGCGAUGGCAGUGUCAGAGGUGGCAGAGGCUUGUGGCGCACCUAGGGUUUCUGCCUCUCCCUCUUGCUGAAAAUUAGUUUAGGUUUUGGGCCAUUUGGGCUUUAAGGUUUUGAUUUAUUUGGGCUGUAAUUGGGUUUGUAAUUUAGCUGAUAAUUUGGAUUGUUUGGAUUAUUUAUUUUUUUGGUUUUAUUUCUGUUUAUUUUUGGGUUUUGGGCUUGGGAAAAAAUUGAUUAUUACAGAGAUAUUGAAGAUGGUAGAGGGAAUUGAACCUGAAAUCUGGUUUUCAAACAAAUACAAGACCUCUAGCUUUGACAAAUAGGCUAAAGAGAAUGGAAUAACACCUUUGAAGUUGUUUUGGUACAAAAACAACCUUCGAAGUUCAGUUAAUGAUCCCAACCAUGAUGGGAUUUCUCCACUGAAGGUGUUGUUACCAAAGCUUAAAUAUUUCAGCCGUCGCAAAUUGGAUAACUAGACAGGUAAUCUGCCAUAGAAACUAUUGUUUGUGACAUAAAGAAGAGAAAGGAAUGACAAAUUUCCCAAGUGAGGUUGAAGGGUGCCUACGAGUCCCAACUGUUAGAGUUAUUAAUAAAAUAGUCAAAGCUAUUACUAAGUCAGUUAGCAGUUAAGCUAUUACUAAGUCAGUUAGCAGUUAGAAAGUUAGCUGUAAUGUCAGUAAGCUUUAGCUUACGUGCUUGUAUAAAUACAUGUGAGGUCUGCAUGUUUUAAGUGACCUAAUGAAAAUAAUUCUCUUCUUGAUUCUUUCAUUUUCUUAGUUUCUUGUAGUUUUACAUGGUAUCAGAUGUAAGUUUUUCCUGGCAUUUUUUCUUCUUCUUUCGUUAAUCCGCUGUGCAGUCUGCAUAGUCAAUAUGGCCUUCAAUUCUUCUGACGGAGCUAUUGACAGUCGGUUCUUUUCUACAAAGAGGAUUAGUGUUCUUCUUGACGAUAAUACCUAUUUACUGUGGCGUCAGCAGGUUCUCUUGGCUAUAAAAGCGCAUAAACUUCAAAACUUCUUGGACCCUCAACAAGAUCCUCCCACUCAGUUUCUUGCCGAUGGUAGUGGUGGUUUUCAUGAGAAUCCAGAGUUUGCACAUUUUGAGCAACAAGAUAGUGCAUUUGCAUUGUGGUUGUUAUCUUCUAUUAGCCAAACGGUGCUUCCUCAUCUUAUUGGUAUGGAUACCAGUGCCAAGAUUUGGAAUGCAGUUGUUACCUUGUUUGGUAGUAAAACCACCUCUAAACUGAUGUCCUAUCGAAGAGCUUUGCAUUCUCAACGCAAUGGCAACUUGAGCAUGAAUGAGUUCUUGAUGAAUGUUAAAAGUUGCUGUGAUAAUCUCGCUAGUUGCGGUGAAGUCAUCAGCGAGCAUGAGCAUGUUACUGCAAUACUCAAUGGUCUUCUUCCAGAAUAUAAACCUGUCAUCACCAUUGUUACAGCAAGUCAAGUGCCCUACACAGUACAAGGUGUAACUUCCAUGCUUCUCGAUACUGAAGCUCGACAGCAGGUGAUGAGUUGUAAAGUCUCCAGUUCUGCAAACUUGGUGUCUUACCAGUCUUCUGAGUCUUCCGAUACUACUGGUUCAAUACCUGCUUAUCGACAGUCAUCUGCAACUCGGGGACAUCGGUGAGGGCGUUCGUCCAACACGAGGAUUCAAUGUCAGCUAUGUGGGAAAGCUGGUCACCUUGUUGACCGUUGUUACUAUCGGCUCACUUGUCCAUACACGUCAGCUUAAAAUGGACUUGUUGAAUUAAAACACCGACAGGUAGUUGAAACCGGCCUGUCCAUGUUAGCUCAUCCAACCAUGCCUUUGAUGUUCUGGAAUGAAGCCUUUUGCAGUGCCGUGUUUCUGAUUAACAGAUUACCCUCCCAUCCCUUGGGUGAUAUAUCACUAUAUGAAAAAUUGUUUAAAACAAAACCAAAUUACUCUUUCCUUCGAACUUUUGGCUGCUUAUGCUUUCCUAAUCUUAUACCUUUCAAUAAAACAAAGCUACAGUUUAUAUCUAUUCCUUGUGUCUUUCUCGGCUAUUACCCAUUGUACAAAGGUUACAAAUGUAGAGACCCUAUUGGUAGAAUCUAUAUUACUCGUCAUGUCACAUUUAAUGAGGCCAUUUUUUCCUACAAAAUGCAUAGUUCAACAGUCAUCCCAUCUACUGCUGUUCCACAGGUCAAUACAAAACUUCUUGUCCUACAUCCUAGCACUGUAUCUUGUAAUAGCAUCCCACCUAAUGUUAUUUCUACUAAUCCCUCUUCAACACCCACUUCACAGUCCACCUAUCCUAUUUUAGCUCAAACAUCACCUGCUUCACCUACGUUAUCUAGAUCCUCUUCACCUCCACAAUUGCAACCCUCCCAAUCCGCCCCGAUCAACACUCAUUCCAUGAUCACCAGGAGUAAGGUUGGAAUUUUCAAGCCAAAGGCUUAUUUGAGCACGACAUCUUCUUCUCCUAGUGAUGUUUCCUCUAACAUACAUGCAACGAUGGCGUUUGAAUGCUGGCGAAUAGCGGUUCACAGUGAAUUGCAAGCUUUGGUUCGUAAUAAUAUGUGGACUCUUUGUUCUCUCCUUGAAAAUCGACGAGCAGUCGGGUACAAGUGGCUCUUUAAAAUUAAAAGGAAGGCUGAUGGGUCCAUCGACAGGUACAAAGCAAGAUUAGUUGCGAAAGGGUUCUCUCAACAUACAGGGCUUGACUUUCAUGACACAUUUAGUCCACUAGUUCGAGCUUCCACCAUUCGCACUAUUCUUGCGUUAGCUGUUAUGUAGGGGUAGGCAAUGCGUCAAGUUGACAUCAAUAACACCUUUCGUAAUGGUGAGCUUACUGAAGAAAUAUACAUAGAGCAACCCUCUGGUUUUGAAGUCUCAGGUGCCUCUGGUCAGCCACUUGUGUGCAAAUUGAAUACAGCACUCUAUGGCUUGCGACAAGCCCCUCGUGCAUUCGAGUGUCUACAGGGAAUUACCUGCUUCUCAUGGUUUAUUUCGAUGACAUUGUGCUCACUGGUAGUAGUGUUCAAGAUAUAGAUGCUGUGGUACAUCAUCUUCAUAACAAAUUUGCUCUUAAGGAUAUGGGAACUCUCAGUUUUUUUUUGAGAAUUGAUGUCCAACGUACGUCCCAAGGAAUGUUGCUCAAUCAGAAGAAGUAUGUCACUGAGCUUCUUCUCAAAACUGGUAUGAUCGGGGCAGCUUCUACACCGACACCCAUAGUAAGCACUCCCAAGUUAGUUGCUUCAGAUGGCAGUCCUCUUUUUCCAAAUGUUCAUUUGUACCGAAGUACAAUGGGUAUGCUUCAAUAUAUAUGUAUUACACAACCCGAUUUGUUGUUCUGUGUAAACAAGCUUAGCCAGUACAUAAGUUCCCCCAGUGUCACUCAUUGGAAAGCUGUCAAACGUGUUUUAAGGUAUCUGGCUGGCACCAUAGAUCAUGGUUUGUAUUUUGCAGCAGGUCCAUUAGAGCUGGUGUGUUACUCUGAUACUGACUGGGCCUCAUCCAUUGAAGAUCGACGGUCUACGUCGGGAUAUGUGGUAUACUUAGGAUCAAAUCCUGUUACCUGGUGCUCAAAGAAACAGUCGGUGGUAUCCAGGUCGUCUGCUGAAGCAGAGUAUCGUAGCCUAGCCAACUGUGUGUCUGAACUGCUGUGGAUUCAACAGCUGCUAAAUGAAGUUGGAGUACCUCUGUCUAAGUUGCCAAUCGUCUGGUGCGACAAUUCUUCUGCAGUUUCAGUAGCUGAAAAUCCCACGCAUCAUUCUAGGAUGAAGCAUGUGGAAAUAAAUCACCAUUUUGUUCGUGAGAAAGUUCUUGCUGGAAUCCUACAGGUCAAUUUUGUUCCCUCUGAUCAACAGAUUACAGAUGUCCUCACUAAACCAGUUACUCCUAAGCUGUUUUCAUCAUUUCGACAUGCUCUUCGAGUCUUGACGUUAAGUGAACUUAAUGAUAAAAAAUCAAACAUGCUAAGGGAAUGUUAGAGUUAUUAAUAAAAUAGUCAAAGCUGUUACUAAGUCAGUUAGCAGUUAAGCUGUUACUAAGUCAGUUAGCAGUUAGAAAGUUAGCUACAACGUUAGUCAGCUUUAGCUUACGUGCUUGUAUAAAUACAUGUGAGGUCUGCAUGUUUUAAGUGAUCUAAUGAAAACAAUUCUCUUCUUGAUUCUUUCAUUUUCUUAGUUUCUUGUAGUUUUACACCAACCCAGUAAGGUCUAGAGCUGUGACUCUACGGUGCUUGGAUCCACAACUUACACCAAACCAAUAGCAAACGGGGGAAGAGGCUGACCAAUUAGUUGUCAAGACAUUUUCAGGAUCAUGAUGAAUAACAUGAUCUCUUAGUGCUAGAAGAGUUGAUUGAUCUGUAAGUAUGGUGGUUAAUUUCAUAGAGAAAUUAGUAGGCAUAGAAAAAUGGAAGAUGAUAAGAAGAGCUAAGUUGAGGAAAGUAUUCCCCAUUUGAUUUUAGGUGCUUAUCGAGCUACCAACAAAGCCAGAACUGAAUGUUGUAAUUUAUUCUUGCAACAUUGCAAAUUCUUUGAAUGUGAUUUAGGUAGAAACUAUAGAAUUUAUUAUAGGAUGUGAUAAUAUGAUUAUGUAAUUAUUGCUUAAAAAACUUCUUUCUAAAUUUCAUAUAGUUGCACUAGUGCUAAGAUUACAACUUUUUUUAUUAAAUUAUUCUAGAUUAGUGAAAUUAUUAGACAACGUGAUAAUUUCUUAUCAGAUAGGAAGUGACAAGUGAGCAGUCACUUCCAAGAAUAUAAACAACUCAAUCACUCUCUUAACUAACGGUAUCAAACACUAAUUGUUGUUUCUAUUGACUAAAAGAAUUUUCAACCAAAAAUAUGUUGACUUAAAAUUAAAAUAAACCAUCAAAUUUCUUAGAACAUUCAAUGAGGUUGAAAGAUUUUAUUUUUAAUUUUUGUUAUUUUGGAAUAAUUUUUUUUCUUUAUAAUUUUACCAAAAAAUAUAUUUUAACUUUUUAUUUUUUUAGUCAUUAAAUUUACAUUGUUUGUCAAAUUAUCCUAAAAUAAAUGGAAAAAAUCAACGUUUGUUAACUUUGCUAAUGUGCCACAUGUGGAUUGUCACGGGAAUGUCAAGUUAGAAAUUAAUUCAUUUUUAAAAAUUUAAAAAUUUAGAAAAUAUUAUUAAUUUAUUUUUAAAAUACUAAAUUUAUUUAAAAAGUAUAAAAGUAUAAAAUUAUAAAAAUAUUUUUAUUUUUAAAAAUUAAUUAAUUGCUAACGUUGUACAUUAACUUUUUCAUUCAUUUUAGAUGAUUUGAAAAACAAUACGAGUUUAAAAGUUAAAAGUGAUAGAAAAUUAAAUAAAAGGCUAAAAUGAAUUUUUUUUAAAAAUAAAUUUGAAACGCCAAAAAAUUCAUCAUCCUUUUUUUUUUUGUCCUAUCAAUACACUUAACAACAUGCCACCAUAAUUUUGAUUUUCUCUGGUAAGUCUGUAUGCCAUAGGUUUUUUAGGAAAGCUUUGUUUGUAAUUUCAUUAGUAUCAUCAUCUAGACUAGAGGUCUCUUUCAGUAGCCUUCUGUAACCACUCCUCACAAUAUACUCUCUUGUUACCCCCCCCCCAUUCCAUACCCUAUUUUCCUCUCGUGGAUGUCUCGCUAGAGGAAUUUGCAAGAUAGUUUGUACCUCUUCCCCUGUAAACAAAGAGGUAACAAGAUCCUCCUUCCUUUGUCUCAGAUUAGAUUCACUCAGCUCUUCCACCUUAAUUAUAUUGUGAUCUCAAACUAACUCCUGGAUUUUUUUAUCCUUCAACCCAAGGAUCCGAGCAUCCUGCCACUCUCCAAGCCAUUCCAUCCUAUAGUAGUUGCUUCAUCGCCCAUACGCUCCUCCAAGUAUAAAAAGGAUAAUUACCUAACUUUGGUUGCAUGAACUCGACAUUGGGGAAUAUUUAGCUUUUAAAGUUCUAGCUAAUAACGAAUCAUGAUAAUUCAUUAAACUCCAACCCUGAUUUGCAAAGGCUAAAUUCAUCUUGGAUAAAUUUUUAAACCUUAUUCCCCCAUCUUCAUUUAGUUCACACAAUUUAUUCCAAUUGCAUCAAUGAAUCCCCCUCUUUCCUUUUUGUUUCUGCCACCAAAAUCGAUUUAUAGCCUGUUCCAUGUCAUGACAUAAAGAAUUCAGUGGUAAAAAACAAAACGUAGCAUAAGUCGGAAUUGAUUGCAGUACACUCUUAAUAAGAAAACUUCCUUCCCUCCCUAGGGAAGUAUUUUAACACACCAAUUAUUUGUUCGUUUUGCAAUCCUAUCUUUCAAGCCCUGAAAGGUCCUUCAUUUUUACCUCCCCACAACAUUCAAGAGCCCCAAAGACUUCUCUGGAUCCAUCAAACAACGCACCCUUAAUAAUUGAGCUACUGAGUCCUUUGCAUAUGUAGAAUUAUUUGAACUAAAAAAUAGUGUUGAUUUCUCUAAGUUGAUACUUUGCCCUGAAUAUUCUUCAUACUUCUGCAAAAUCCUUCUAAUCUCAUUUGCUCGCUUUUCUGUAUCUUCACCAAACAAGAUAUAGUCAUUCGCAAAAAGCAAAUGAGUAAUCUCAAGACCCUUUCUACAUACCUUGACACCUUUUGUUCUCCCCUCCCCUUUCACCAUCCUCAUCAAUGUCAAUAACCCCUCUCCACAAAUCAAGAAUAGAUAAGGACUUAGCGGAUCCUCUUGUCUAAGGUUAUAAUCUCCCUAACUUGGACUAGACGUUAUGACCAUAUUAAAAAGGCUACAUUAGACUCCAAAAUGACUAAACAGACUAUUUGACCUUUGAAAAUCCUUAACACACAACUAAUUUUAAAGAAAAUUGGUAUUGGUGAUCCAAGUUAGAUAAAACAUUUGUUUAUUGGGUUUUCUUACAAAAAAAAAAACCCCUAAUUUUUUUUCUAACUUUAGAAAAGUCAUCACCCUUGAAAUUAAUUAACAUUAAAACAUUCAUUCAAUUAGGCCAUCUUUACUUAGAUUCUAUUUUAUUAUUGUUGUCAUGUUUUAGAAAACUAAUUGUUUUGAUAUUUUGUUUCACAAAAAUCAAAUCUUUAAAAUGUAGUGGAAAACUAUUAUUCAUAUCAUUUUGGAAAUCCAACUGCCUUAUUGAUUUGUUUUUCAAAGCAGUUAAUUUGUAACACAAUGAAAAAUUGGUGAUCAAUGUCAAUUUUACUUAAGCCAUAUAUCAUGCAAUUAUUAGUUAUUAAACUUCAGUAAUAUAUGCAUGCACAAAAUCCCCCUCCCCCAAAAAAUAAUCAAGCCAUAGACUAGAGGAGUUCAUGGGCCGGGCCGGGCUCAAAAAAAUUUUGGCCUGCCCUAAAAUAUGCGCUUAAAAUUUUAUCCAGGUCCAACCUGAGAAAAAAUUUUUAAGCUCGGCCCGACUCAUUUUUUAAUAAACACCAAAAAAUUAUUUAAAAAAUAAAAAGUAUUUUAAAAUUUUUAAAAAUAUAUAUAUAUUUACUAUAUUCGGGCCAGGCCGGGCCCGAGCUUGGGCCAAAAAAGUGGUACCCAAGGCCCAAUCUAUUUUCUAAACCAGCCUUCUUUUUUGUCUAAACUCAUAUUUUAGAUCUAUAUAUUUACUUGAAUUCUCUCAUAUUUCGGGCGGACCGUCCUGACAGGAGCACCUCUAGCUUUUAAGGACUUGAUUUUCAAUUUUUAACUUUUCCUUUGUUUUUCUUUCGUUCUGUUUAUAUGUCAGGUCUCCAAGAUGCCCUCCUUAUUUGGCUCUAACCCUUCAUCCUCCGAUCCUGCAAACGACACCGUGCCUUCCCCUUCCUCUUCUUGUUCCUCCUCCUCCUCUCCGGACAUGUGGAAUUACUUUUUUAUCCCUAUCCUCCUCCACCUCACCAAAAAACUCUCCCUUGCUAAAGCUCAAACCUCAACUGGACUCCUCCUCCCGAGUCAACGCGGCGACGGCUCGGCCGAUGAUUCACUAAUUUCCUUUUCGAGGUGCGCGAAUGCUGACCCGAAGCUAUAUUAUCGGCCUGUGAUUGGGAUACUGAGUCAUCCAGUAGGCGGCGCGUCGGGGGGCCGUUCCUACAUAGUUGCGUCGUACGUGAAGUUCGUGGAAGCGGCCGGGGGUCGAGUCAUUCCUCUUAUUUAUAAUGAGCCGGAAGAGAUUCUUUUCCAGGUAAUAAUCAUGAUGUUCAUUUCCUUGUAAAAAUGCUGAAUUUUGACUUUGAAUAUUUGCGUGUGUGUGUGUUUUUUAAAAUUCGGUUAAAAAAAUGGACAGUCGUGAAUCUAUUUUUGGAAAGAAAAAUUCCUGAUUUAGAAUCUUAAAUAACUUUGAUACUGUGAAAUUUGAUACUGUGAAUUUUUAAUAUUUUGUUUCAUAAUAAGUUUUUCCUCUUAAUUAAAUGUAAGAAUAUAAAAAUGCUUGCUAUUCCCGCAUUUCAAAAAAUUCUCUCGUUUUUGUUAAAUCAUAAAAUUAGGAUACUACCAGUUGUUGCAAUCUCCUUACUGUCUAUGCAAAGGAUAGAAUUUUAGCUUAGUUGCAUUUUUGUGGAUAUUCUUUAGUACCUUAAUAUUUGAAAUGAUAUUUUGAUUGCAUAUGCAUAUGCAUAUGCCUUUCAUUCCCUUGCUUUUGAUUUGCUACGAUUAGACAGUGGUAUGAUGCUAUGAUACCCGCUUUAGCAUAGUUGUUGCCUUCCUUUGCCAAAAGCCUGUCACCUUGCUAAGUGUCUUCUCCACCUUCGUAUUGCAGCAAGCUUGAAUUGGUUAAUGGCGUGCUUUUACCAGGAGGGCGGUCUAAAUCCGGCUUGUACUAUGAUAUUGCUGAAAAGAUUUUCAAGGUAAUUUAUAUUUAUAUUUGUUUGUUUCUUGAUUUUAUGAAAUUCACAUGAAACUAACAAAAAAAUAUAGGCAAGAGAUUGGUGUUAGCAUGCAAGUCUUUUGUUUCUUCAACUUAUGCUUCAAAUGUUUUUAUAUUUCCAAUUUUCCAUGGGUUGCAUAGAAAACUUUUAUUCUUUGUGUUUUUGCAGAAAGUUAUAGAGAAGAACGAUAGGGGAGAUCAUUUCCCGUUAUAUGCCAUUUGUUUGGGUUUUGAACUUUUAACAAUGAUUAUCAGCGAAGUAAGCACCUCACAUUAUCUGACAUUUUUUUCUGUUUCCUUUUUAAAAAAAAAAAAGAAAAAAGAAAAACAAUUUAAUUUUCUUCAGGCUUUUAUCUGUUUAUAUGGCUUUUUUAUAUGGCUUUUCUUGAUGUAGUUAACUUUUGUUCACUAUUGUGGACUUUCUCUACUAAUAUUCAUUCAUGCGUCAUGGCAGAAUGACCAAAUGAGACGUUUUUAAAUUUCUUGAUUUAAGGAACUCUAUAAUUUCCAUUUGUGAGAGAUUACUGUUGGCCUAACAUGGCUAAAUAAUGGCAAUUCCUGCAUGUUCACCGUAUUGUGGAAACUGCAGUAUUUGAUCCGUUAGGAUGGCAUGGUUACCUUGUUUGUGGCAUCCAAACCAAUGGUUGACCUUGCUGGAAAACAUUUUCUAAUGGAUUUGAAAUCUCAAAAUCUUAUCUACUGAUUCUUUAGAAAUCACUUCAUUUCAAGUUAGCUUAAAUCUACCCAUGUCUACUGUAUCCAAUAACUUAUUUUACUUAAGGAUUUUCUUUGUUGAAUUAUAAAAAAUUUAACAAAAUCUUAUUUUAAUGAAUACAUACUUUUUUUCUUCUUGCUGAUAGGACAAAAAAAUUCUUGAACGAUUUUCUGCAUUAAAUCGGGCCUCUAGUCUCCAAUUUGUGGAAAAUGUUAAUAUUGAAGGAACAGUAUUUCAAAGGUGCAAAACCUUUAUUACCUUUCAUGGUACAUUAGUAUUGUUUGAUUUUGGUGCCAUUUUUCUAUUGAUGCUUUUGCUCAGAUUUUACAUUAUUAUCCUUGGAGGAUUAAGUAUUUUAUAUUUCAAAUAUGUUUUGCUGGUCAGGCAUUAGAUGAUUUAUAGGAAAGUUCACAACAGUUAACGUGUUGAAGUAACGAAAGCCUCUCUGUAUGCGCUGCUAAUAAGGGAAAGAGUCUUGUAAUACAUAUGCAGUUUAUGUUCUGUCAGACUGAUCUCUCCAUUUCACUAUUUGAAUAAGAACUUUGUUGCAUGAGGAUAGAGAAAAGGAAGUCAACUAGUUGCUUGAGAUUUCCUGAAGUUGUUCUUCAGGUUAAAUGAUGACCAUAGCAUAAUAUUUGGUGUGAAACUUUGGUACUAUGGGCUUACCACUUUUCUUGUUAGCUUUUGCUUGCACCAUAGGCACAUGGCAAUGAAUUGGUAUGGUAACCAGACUUCACAUGAAGCUUUUAGUGUAGACCAUAAACAAGUUUAACACUUAAAUAGGAAGAGAAUAGAUGUGUGCUUGUUUAGCUUCCUGAUUAGUGUCAUUGAAUUUGUUCUUAGUUGAUUGAGGAGAGUGUAAUAAACCCUUCUCUGAACUUCAGAGUUACACCUUUGAUAAAUAGCAAUAGCUGAGCACAGCAAUAAACAUUAAUUGCCUGUUUGCUUUAUCAUCAAAAGGCUUUAUGAAUGUUGUAGGUAUAUCCAUUUAUAAUAUCUAACCUUUCAAUCAGUAGUAAAAAUGAGGUGAUUUUAAGCUGAUAAUUUGUAGUUUGGUCCAAGUUAGUAGCAGAACAAUAUUGUCAUAAACUUUCUACUUAGCCCAACCUGGUUGACAUCUUUUAUUCGAGAGCUUUUCUUAUAGUCAGUGUAAUUAUAUGUUCAUUGCUCCAGUCAGUGCCACACUUCUACAGCUUGAUAGUUAUUCCCUUUUGCCAGAUUUCCUCCAAAUUUGCUGCAAAAGCUUGGCACAGAUCUCCUAGUCAUGCAAAACCAUUGUGUGAGUUUCAUGGCUCCUUUCAUUUAUAUUUUAAAUUAGUUGCACGUGUAAGUGUUUGUCUUUUGCUUCUCUAGUAUGUCCGCUUUGGAUCAUUCCUAAAACCUUGAACUGAUAAUGAAGGAUCUAAAUUCUGAUUUAUUCAAUGUUUUCAUUUUUUUUAUCAAUUUUUGUUGCCACUGGUUGCCUGUUUCCUCUAUUUGGCACUUUUAACAGCUUCCUACUUGUUAGCUUGUGCAGAUUAUUAUUUGAGAGAUGAAAUGUAUUUUAAUGCACAGUAAAUUGUUCCUGCGUUCUGUUCUCCUAAUAUGUAAUUUGAUUUCCUUGAACCUCAUUCUUGGUCUCUAAAAGCCUAACUUAGAAGAAAACUCAACAGGCAAGAUGUCGUGCUAAGAGUAGAGACCUGUCAAAGAAGAAAAAUGCUAAUAUUUCUUCAGAGUUAAGGAUAAUAUAUCCCUAUUCAAAAGUUAUCUUUCUUUCAUGUGCGUAUUAAGAGAAUCCUUGCCGCCCUCCUUUGUGGCACAUUGUCUGUGUUAUGUUUCUAUGUACAAGCUAAUUAGCAUUGCCUAAAAUCAAUGUCUAAUUGUAACAGUGGGGCAUUUCACCAGAGAAGCUUCAAAAUACUCCAAAUCUGUCCAGAUUCUUCAAGAUCUUAACAACAAGCACAGAUAAAAAUAACAAGGUUCUGAAUCUUACCAUCCCUAUGCCAUAGGAAGUGUCUUAACUUGAUUUAUCUCAUUACAUUUUAUGGCUGCUGUAAAUGUCCUUAUUUCUAUUUAAGUGUUAAUAACAGGUAUAUGUCUCCACUGCACAAGCACAUCGCUAUCCUGUCACUGCCUUCCAGUGGCAUCCAGAGGUACCUCUUUUAGUGCUUUCUGAUCAUCGUCAUGUUUAUGCCUCAGUACAGUUUGGCAUGGCAAUUUUAAUUUUUCUUGUUAAAUAAUAAUCAUAUCAAUGACCACUACAAGGAAUUGGUGUCCUUUUUUUCCCUAUUAACUUCUUUGUGUAUCUCUGCUUCUGUUUCUCUUACUCCUUUUAAUUUUGUUUGCAAAACUGUAGUGUUAUUCUAUGAUCCACUAAUACACUCCAUUUCAUUAUGAAUAGUCUGACCAUAUAUUUUGCAGAAAAAUGCUUUUGAAUCGGGCUUGUCUAUGAUUCCACACUCAGACGACGCCAUUGAAGUGACACAACAUGUUGCAAACUUUUUCAUCAGGUUAGGAAUGUUAAGUAAGGAAGUUAUUAAUAGUUCUCUAUAUUCUUACAAUUUAGUCAACAACAAACUGAGCGAAUGUUAUAUUCGAGUGAGACACAAUCUUGCUCUUCAGCAUAUUAUUUGGGUUUUGGGCAGCUGUUCCUAUGUGGAUAUGCUUUGCUUCGUCCUAGAGCAUAUGUAAGGAAGAAAUGUUUAAAGGAACUUAGAUAAAUUUUAGGAUAUAAACAAUAUAAGAAUAUAAAUAGUUUAGCAUGAAAGGAGAAGGAAAGGAAAUAGGCAAAAUUCAUUUUCAGCAUGCUAUACUACAAGUAGUUUUUCUGGCUGAGAAUGAAAUGCCCGUGGUUUUAUGAAUAUAAGAAAGAGGAAAGGAAAGAAAAUGCGUAUUUCUAAUUAUGUGACAGACUAGAGGUGAGGUAUUUGUGUUCGCGGCAUAAGAAUUUGAGUUCAAACCCUAACAUUGUUUCGCCCUACCAAAUUAUAAAAAAUAAAUACCAUCUCUUUCCUUCGUCUGUUUGGAAGAUGAGGUAAUUUAACUUUUCUUUUUUCUGGUACAGAGAGGCUAGGAGAUCACUGAAUAGGCCAGCUGCUCAAAAAGUGCGUGACAGCCUUAUUUAUAAUUACAGGCCCAAGUAUUAUGGGAAAGCUGGGUAAGCUGAUAUCAAUCCUUUUGAGUUUUGACACUAUUAGGACACCAUCCUCUUGAAUGUAAGCUGAUUGACAUGGUUGUGAAUUUGAAUGCUGUAGGAAGGGUUUCGAUCAGGUCUACAUCUUUACACAACGUCAAGCUCGAAAUUGAUAGAGUUGCUGCCGUGUACAUAGUUAAAGAUGUAUGUGGUUGGAUGUAUGUAUAUUGUUGACGCUGUAUUUGCAUUGUGAUUUGAAUCUGAUUGCUCUCUUCAUUUAUAUAAGCUACGGACUGGAUGCUUGCCAAUGAGGUGUAUGAGUAGUUAUUGUUGAUGAACAAAGUUUGCAAUGCUUAUUCUUAUUAGCUCAAAUUCUAAAAAUGAUAAUGAUUAAAUUAUAAUCUGUUACUUGUGUUAUAAAUAAGCUUGAAUACUUUACCAUAGAAAUAGGGUUUAAGCUUAAAAAUACAUUCUUUUUGUGUGAGAUAAAUAUAAAAAGAACUGGAUUUGUAUUUGAUGCGGUUUAUGACAUGCUAUUGAAAAUAAGUGUGAAUUACAUAAAUGUCAAUUGACUAUUAUAAUUUUUGUUAGAUUAUUCCAAUUUAAAAAGUUUCAAAAUAAUUAAAUUUCAUUUAAUUUAUUAAAUUUAUUAUAUCCAAAACUGUUAUAAAUUAGUAACAGUCGAAUGGUGUGUUGUUAACUUAAUGAUAUGUUUUUUUAACCCAUUAACUUUUUUUCACAUUAUUUCCAUGUCAUAUUAUAAUUUAAAAAAAAAACUAAUUUAAACUCCAAAAUUCCAAUAUGACAUGGAAAUGUGGAAUAAAAUUAAUGAUUAAAAAGACAUAUCGUUAACAGCCACGUCAGCAGAUUAUUAGUAAUUUAGCAGUUUUGAACUUAAAAAAAAAUGAUUUUGAUAGUCUGAUAAUCAUUUUAUAAUUUUUAAAAAUCAAAUAAUUUAAAUAAAAAAUAUAUAUAUAUAAUAAUCGGAUAGCCAUUUAUUAUGUAGUUUGCCAAAGUAUUUUAUCAAUUGGAAGAUGAAGCAGUAAACCAAUAAAUAUGUUGAAUAGUCUCCAAUUGAACCAUUUAAGAUAUAAAUCCCAAUAAGCUCAAUUAAUGGCUCUAAUCAACUUUACAAGAAAUAGUUCUUGACAAUUUGAAGGGUGAAUAAUGAAUUUCCAGAACUCUUUGAAGAAAAUCGAGAAGAAAAUUACUUUUAAGAAUCAGAAGAAAAAAAUCUUACACAAAAAAACUAACUCUAAACACCUAAAGUACAUCUAAAUAAAACUCUAAUUAAUCUAAAUAGGGGUGAAGCCAUAAAUUUUUUAGGGAGCCAAAAUUAAAUUGUAAUUUCUACAAUAGUAAAAAUGUAAUUUCACCAUUUUAAUAACUUAUAUCUUUAUAAUUUUUAAAGGGUUAAAUCAAAUUUUUAUUAUUUUUAGGGGUCAUAAAGUGUAAUUUUACAUUUAUUAAUUUAAAUUUUUUAAAAUUUUAAAGGGUCUAAAUGAAUUUUUUUUCAUUUUAAGGGAGUCAAUGCCUUGUCAUCCCCUAGCUAGCGUUUGAAUCUAAAUAAAAAAUAGUUUUAAACUAAAUUUUCUUAUUUAACUCAAAAUACUUGGCCUGCAAUAAUUUUUCUUGACAAAAAGAUCCUCCAAAUAUUAUUUAUAAAUUUGUAUUUGAUACGUUGAUAGUGUUUUUUUUAUUCUAUAAAUAGUUUUAAAAUUUUAUCAUAUAUCUAUUUUUUUAAAAAUUUAUUUAGUUUUAAUAUUUUAUUGUACACCUAUGAUAACACUUGUCAACCCUUAAUCCUAUUUAUAAAAUCUAAAAAUUUAGUAACAAUUAACCAAAUAUUUCUAAUUAUUUAUUAAACUUAAUUAAAUAAUAGGUUAUCUAGUAUUUUUGAGUUAGCUAUCUAUUUUCUUAACCAAAUAUUUAAAUUACCAUUAUGGACCUAUGUAGUUUUUUUUUUAUAUAGGUAGACAACACCAUAAAGUAAUUACAUUCUUAAAGUACUAUUAACAUAGAGAAAUGAUAUUACGCUCAACUAUCAGUAUAUUUCUCACUGGAAUCUCUCAAAAUAAUUGUACAUUACCUAAUCCAUGUGAAGCUAUCUUGGUUAUAUGAUCAGCAAUUUUAUUUUUAGAAUCUCUCAAUUUGCUAUUAGCCAUUCCACCAAUUAAAAUUAAUUCUACUAGAAGCGCAUUGUCGCAUUUAGUAUUUUUAAUUAUAAAAAAUAAAUUUAAUGUUAAAUAAAAUUACUAUUUAAUAUUAUAUUUCCUCUCUCCUCAUAUACAUGUUCUUCCUUUCCGAUUCCGUCAUUUUCAUCCCUUUUCUCAUUCAUCUUCAUUCAUGCAGGUUGAAAGGUUUUUUCUUUUUCUCGUUAAGCCAAUGACAUGAAAUUUGGGUUUUUAUAUUGAUGGAGGAGAACCGUUUCUGGGUUGAAAACUAUAAAUUUUGGACUUCUAAACUUGAAAAACCUAUGGCUACGCUUUGAUAGCACCAUUUGUGGAUGAGGUGUUGAAGCAAAAAUCCUUUAUUAAAAAAAGUUUGGGACUUUGAUUUUUUUUUCAAAAGAGUUCUUUUUAUUUUCUUUAAUUGUAAAAAAACAAAGAAACUGUGUUGGGGCAAGAAAAAGAAAAGCUGGAGAAGAUUGAAAGGGUCUUUGUUUAUAUGCAGAAUAUUCAAAGAAAUAAUUUGAAUCAUUUCCCAUCCAAUUUUAUAAAAAUAAUUAUUUUAACCUUCUAUUUAUUAUUUUAAUCACUUUUUAAUUUUUAAAUUUAUAAUAUUUAUCAAAUUAUUCUAAAAUAAAUAAAAAAUUUAACAUCGGUUACUUUUGCUAAAAUGGUAUACGCGCCACUUAAAUAUCACAUCAUCAAUUAAUUUUUUUUAAAAAUUUAAAUUUCAAAAUUUAUUAAAAGUGUUUUAAAAUAUUAAAAAUAAAAAAAUAUUUUUUAAUAUUAAAAAAUUAAUUAAUUACUAAUGUGACAAUUAUAAAUGCACACGUUGAUUACCACAUUAACAAUGUUACAAAAGCUCAAUGGAGGGCUAAAAUGCAAGUCUAGUGUUACUAAUCUCACAUUGCUAAUAUAUAUAAAGUACAAAGAAUUUGAAUAGACAAUUCAUUAUAACUUGAGUAAUUGAGUUGGGUGCAAUUAGAUAGUUAACUUAUUGAAUUUUACGUAUAUUUGUUAUAAUGACAACUGGGCUUAAAUUUGGUGGUGUAAAUAAUUUUUAUAUAUAAUUAUUAUUUUUAUUUUUUAAAAUAAUAAAUUUUUAUUCGCAUUUGAACGAAUUUAUUCAAAUAAUCUAUGUUAAAAUUUACAGUAUCAAAUUUUACCUAACAAAAGGAAAAGAUUAUUUAUGACCAUAUAAGUUAUUUAAGAUUCUAAAUCAGGAAUUUUUCUUUCCAAAAAUAGAUUCACGACUGUCUAUUUUUUUUAACCGAAUUUUAAAACACACACACACCCAAGUAUUUUUAAUUAAAUAUAUAUAUAUUUAAUAUUAUAUUUCCUCUCUCCUCAUAUUCAUAUUCUUCCUUUCCUAUUCCUUCAUUUUCAUCCCUUUUCUCAUUCAUCUUCAUUCAUGCAGGUUGAAGGUCUUCUUUUUCUCAUUAAGCAAAUGACAUGAAAUUUGGGUUUUUGUUUUGAUGGAGGAGAACCGUUUCUGGGUUGAAAACUGUGAAUUUUUGGACUUCUAAACUUGAAAAACCUAUGGCUACGCUUUGACAGCACCAUUUGCGGAGGAGGUGUUGAAGCAAAAAUCUUUUAUAAAAAAAUGAUAGGGACUUUGAUAUUUUUCAAAAGAGUUAUUUUUUAAAAUUAUAAAAAAACAAAGAAAACUGUGUUGGGGCAAGAAAAAGAACAAGAGACCUGAAGCUGGAGAAGAUUGAAAGGUUCUUUGCUUAUUAUAUGCACAUUAAUGUUAAAAAAAAAGGUUUCAUAAAAUUAGUACAAAUGAUCAUCAAAUUUCAGCUCAACUUCGUUUCAUACAUGCUCGAUUUUUGUUUGAAGAAAAUGCUCAUUAAGUAAUGAUUAAUAUAGAUACCCAUUAACUUUAUUAUAACUAAUUCUUCUUUUAAAAAAGUAUUCACAAAAUGCGGAAAUAACUAGUAAUAAACCUUAGGUGUAUAAAUAUUUAUCAAAGACAUUGCUAGAAAGCAAACCUCAUGUUUAUUUUAGUCAAUUCAACAACUGCCUCUUCAUCGAACUCGUUCCAUAUCCCUUAAUAACGUCACUUUGAUCUUCUUUAACUUUGUAACAAUCUCUUUCAUAUGAAGCCUCUCAUUUGGUAACUCUACACAACAUUCUAAGCCAACUUGCAAAAUGGAUAAGGCACAAUUCUUGACUUUUAAAUCUUCCCUUCCAAUGGUGCUCAACAACUUGGGAUCUACAACUUGAUUUCGCGAAGAUGAUAUCGACUCUAUCACCCAACUCUUCAAGCUUCUUUCUCCUGCAAACAUUUCAUCUGUGGGCUUUUUUCUUGUGAUGAUUUCCAUCAAAAGAAUACCAAAACUAUACACAUCACCUUUUGUCGAAACAAUUCCUUCCAUUCCAUAUUCUGUAUGAAUAUAAAACAACAUUAUGAAUAUUCAAAGAUAUCUUGAUAAUGAAAAUUUCCUAUAAAAUAUCUCAAACAUUAUAUGCUUGCCUGUUAUAAUUGAACUAGGAUUUACUCUAGUUGCUUCCUUAAAAAGUCACAUUCAAUGUGUUUGAAACUCAAAUGUUAACAGAUAUAUAUGAUCCCUUUUGUUAUGCACAUUCUACACUUCCAUUGAAAAUGGAAAAAUAAAUAUGGAGUUUGAUUAGAAGUAUCACCUGGUGCCAUAUAUCCAAAUGUUGCCAUUGUCAUGGUUUGUAUCAUUGAAACCUCUUCACAUAAGAGUUUCGCGAUGCCAAAAUCACUCAAAUGCGCAACCAUAUCUUCAUCUAAUAGAACAUUGUUGGGUUUUAAAUCACAGUGAAUCACGGGUGUUGCAUUGCCGUGAUGGAGAUAUUCCAAUGCAGAUGCAACAUCUAUCAUUAUGUUCAACCUUUGUAGGGUAUCCAAAUAUUGGUUGUUGGAAUACAGCCAUUUAUCAAGACUCCCAUUAGGCAUGAACUCAAGCACCAACGCUUUGAAAUUAAGAUCAUUAGAGCAACUGCUUAUUACUUUGACUAAAUUUCUGUGACGAGUGUUGCGGAGAACAUCACAUUCAACAUCAAAGCUCUUAAAAGCUCCUUCUAACUCAAACUUGAAGACCUUUACCGCAAUGAUCGUCCCAUCCGGGAGAGUCCCUUGGAAUACUGCACCAUAACUUCCAUUACCAAGCAACCUACUAUCAUUGAAUCCAUCAGUAGCUUGACGAAGCUCGUGGUAUGAAAAUCGUCUCCACGUUCCUAAAGGUAUCAUGUCUUCUUGAGUUGGCAAUUUGUCUUUCCUCCUCCUAUUUUGCAAGAUAAUGAUAAUCAGAGCCACAACCAAAAUUGUGGAGGCAAUUGGCAGAGCUACAUAUAGUAUGAGCUUAGUUUUUGCCUUGGAAUUUCUAAGAGGUCUAGUUUUGCAGUUUGGAACAUGAAGCCGAGCUGCACCACACAAGGCUUCAUUCCCCUUAAAUGAUUCGAUUGUGUAGUUUUCAAAUGAUCCUCCUUCAGGAAUUUCACCUUCAAGCCUAUUAAAAGAGACAUUGAAAUAUUUGAGAUAACGGAGUUUCUCUAAGGAUUUGGGAAUCUCUCCAAAUAGAUUAUUUCUUGACAAGUCCAAGAAUUCCAAACUCAACGAUUCAUCAAAAGACUCAGGAAUAGAACCCGUGAUUCUAUUAUUGGAUAAGGAAAAAUGAGUGAGGUCCUUGAGAUCUGCAACUCCAGUUGGGAUAUCACCUGAGAACUGAUUGUUCGACAAAUCCAAACUACUCAAAACUUUCCAUUUUCCAAUGUCAAUUGGCAGUGGACCACUCAGAGAAUUUGAAGACAAGUAUAGGAUGAGGAGAUAGUUAAGCCUUGUCAACGUUGACGGUAUUGAAGAGGAAAACAUAUUGGAGUCUAGAAAUAGUUGCCUUAAUGAAGUGAGAUCACCUAAGCAAGUAGGUAUUGGCCCAGACAAUUUGUUAUUGGUUAAGAACAAGAAAGCCAAUUUGUUUAGAUGACAUAACUCAGUUGGGAUGGAUCCCUCUAACUUAUUGUCCUUAAGAGAAAGACUUUGCAACUCUUCCAAUCCUCCAACUGUAGUAGGAAUCUGUCCUAUCAAUUUAUUGCCUCCUAGCUCAAGGCUUAUCAAGUGACUUAAGUUUCCAAUUUCACUGGGGAUGCUACCCCUGAUGUUGCAUGCAGAAGCAGAGAACUCUUCAAGAGAACUUGAGAGAUUUCCUACCACUCUUGGAAGUUCACCACUAAUAAAUGAGUUGAUCUCGAAAAAAAGGCUCUCCAAGACUCUACAGUUUGUCAAAGAAAAGAGAAAGCUCAUUCCUGAGGAAGUUAAAUUAUUAUUCGCCAGGUUGAGAAUCUUUAAAUUUCUUAGAUUUCCCAGAUUAUCAGGAAUGGACCCUGAAAAGUAAUUACUAGACAUGUCAAGAAGAGUAAGCUGAGAGGCAUUGGAAAUAUACAUUGGGAUCGAGCCGGCAAGGUGAUUGAAACCAAG